GUUCCCAUACGAUCACCGAAGUUAAGCAACGUCGAGCCUGGUCAGUACCUAGAUGGGUGACAGCUUGGGAAUACCAAGCGCUGUAAG